rnacentral:tRNA from 1 species
CUAUAGUGAAAUAUAUAACUGUACACUUUCUAUGUACCGAUGCUUAUAGCUACAGA